rnacentral:rRNA from 1 species
UGGGGAAUAUUGGACAAUGGGCGAAAGCCUGAUCCAGCCAUGCCGCGUGUGUGAAGAAGGCCUUUUGGUUGUAAAGCACUUUAAGCGAGGAGGAGGCUACUUAGAUUAAUACUCUAGGAUAGUGGACGUUACUCGCAGAAUAAGCACCGGCUAACUCUGUGCCAGCAGCCGCGGUAAUACAGAGGGUGCGAGCGUUAAUCGGAUUUACUGGGCGUAAAGCGUGCGUAGGCGGCUUUUUAAGUCGGAUGUGAAAUCCCUGAGCUUAACUUAGGAAUUGCAUUCGAUACUGGGAAGCUAGAGUAUGGGAGAGGAUGGUAGAAUUCCAGGUGUAGCGGUGAAAUGCGUAGAGAUCUGGAAGAAUACCGAUGGCGAAGGCAGCCAUCUGGCCUAAUACUGACGCUGAGGUACGAAAGCAUGGGGAGCAAACAGG